AUUUAUAUAGCUUAUGAAAGCAUCAUAUUGAAGCUAUGAAGAUGGCUUCUGCCUAUAAAUA
rnacentral:tRNA from 1 species